GUGCUGUGUCCAUAGCACAGUCAUUAAAAUUGGGAAAAUACAGAGAUUCUUAUGAUCUCUAAGCAGGUAUGGCACUCAAAUUCAUGAAGCAUUCCUCUUUUUU
ensembl:snRNA U6 U6 spliceosomal RNA